GGAAGCUUUCAGCAAUGGAAAACUUCAUUUCGAAGUUGCUGAUCAAAUGAAGAAAGCACUGUUCCAAGUAGUAGAACCCUCAGGAGUCAGGAGGAAAGAUUCUCAUCGAUGGAUUAGACAUAUCGAAAAUAGUGCAAGACUUAAGCCCACGAGAUCCAACCUUAUUUCAAGGAACUGUGAGGACUAAUCUGGAUCCCCUGGAGCAGCAUUCGUGUCACGAAAUAUGGUAGCUUGUAUGACAAGAUAUUCAUAUGUAACGCAGGUCUUGAACAAAUGUUGACUCAGCAACAUUGUCGGGAAGGAUCAGAGGCGACUGCUUGCCCCUGCUAUGUUUCCAAAUCUCGUAGUUUUUUUCUUGGACUGAGGCAGCUCGUUUGUCUAGCUAGAGUGCUUCUAAAGGAGGAGAAUUCUAGUGCU
rnacentral:sRNA from 1 species